rnacentral:rRNA from 1 species
GUGUCAGCAGCCGCGGUAAGACGAACCGCCCGAACGUUGUUCGGAAUCACUGGGCUUAAAGGGAGCGUAGGCGGGCUGCCAAGUCCGGGGUGAAAUCCUCCAGCUUAACUGGAGAACUGCCUCGGAUACUGGAAGUCUCGAGGAGGGUAGGGGCAAGUGGAACCGUGGGUGGAGCGGUGAAAUGCGUUGAUAUCCAUGGGAACUCCGGUGGCGAAGGCGACUUGCUGGACCCUUUCUGACGCUGAGGCUCGAAAGCCAGGGGAGCAAACGGGAUUAGAAACCCGGGUAGUCC